ACAGCAGUCGAAACAAUGGAAGCAGAGGGAAUCAUCAACACCAAAGAAAUUCAAGACUCAGUGUGCACAAAGUUUUCUACCAACCAAAGCCUGAUCUCGAAGACCACAGACCAACAGAAGAACCGCCAGCCAACCCUGCUUUCAAAUGACAUCACUUCUGCUUCCAGUCUCUCUGAACCCGCCUCUUCCUGUCAGCCUGCUUUAUAAACCCUAUGUUUUGCCUGUGUACCUCAGUUCUGUUUUGGAUUCCUGUCUGUGAAGACCUCUUUGACUUAAAAGUCAACUCAGCUCAGCUCCUUUUGUCAGGUACACAGGAU